CUCGGGAGCCUCCACCCAGGCGCAUGGCUCCAUGAAGCAAGAGGAGGAGGCAGAGCGCGAGAGAUCCCGUCCGCCCCAGCCGCGUCUGGGCCAGGAGAAAAGCAAAACCAUAUUCCUGCUGCUGUCAGUUUUGAUGCACUGAGAAAACUUCAGAGACCUAAGCUUUUUCCAGAGAAGAGAAGCUUUACUGGUGUUCCAGCCCUAAGAAACUUAAAUCCUCAGUGUGACACAACUCAGUCCUUCUACUGCAGCAGCUCUUUUAUAAAAGCCUCCCAAAGCUCCAAGAAGGAACAAAGAAUGUGACCCAGUAAGCUCACACCAUAAGUCUAUAUUGCAGAAACCUUUGUUCAACAAAACUGCAGAUGCUCUGUUGAAUCCACUGGAGAUUGUCCUGAUACUAAGGACAAGUAUCAACCAUCUUUCCUGUGAAAAAUUCCCUCUCCUAGUACUUUAGUUCUGUGGAUCCAAAAUUUAUAGCAUUCUUCUACCACCACAGGGGUGAGUAUAUAAUAAAAAAUGUCAGUUAUUCAAGUAUGUAAGAAACUUGAAAGUCAUCACUCCCAUCCUUACAACAAGAAAAAUGCUGUACAAACAGACUAUCAACAACUCAUUUUAGAUCCAUUAGAGGACUGAGGUCACAGAAAAACUGCUGCGCCCACCCUAAAUCCCCAUUAAAUUAGAGAGAUGGGAAAAUGCAAAGAAUUAUAGCCUAGUGGAGCAAAAGCCCAGGAGCCCCCACAGGAGUUAGUAAUGGAGUAGAAAACUUUAAUAUGCAGUUGAUUAAUUUCUGGAAGCACAUUGUGGACAAGCUUGAGAAUUAACUUUGAAAAAUAUAUAACAUGAUAAUACUAAUUAAAAGAAAGCUGGAUUAAUAUAUUAAUUUCCAACAAAAAGACUUCAGAGAAAGAACAAUUAUAGGGGGAUACAAAGGGGUAUUACAUAGUAACAAAGGAUUUAAUUUUCCAAGAAAACGUAACAAUCCUUAAUGUGUUUGCAUGUAACAGGCUGUCAAAACACAUGAGGUGAAAACAGAUAGAACUGCAGGAACAGACAGAUAAAUCCACUAUGAUAAUUGGAGGUGUUAACACCUCUCUAUCAAUAAUGAAUAGAACCAGCAGGUGGAAAAUCAGUAAGGGCAUAGUUCAACUGAAUAGCACCAAAAUCAGUGAGUCCCAGUCUCUCUUCCCGGAAGUUGAUUCUUGAGCAGGGACGUCAGGAGUAGAGUGAUGUCCAGGCCAUAUUUAAUAACAAAUAAAUCAGAGUCUGGACAUGAUAUGUAGGCAUUCGUUUCUUUAAAAAAAAAUUGCCCCAGGUGAUUCCAUUGUGAAUCUAAUGUUGAGAAGAAAUAUGUGCAGUCGUUUUCUUUGAAUUCAUUCUGCCUGAGAUAUCUAGAGUUGUUCUGGUUGUUGACAUCGUUUUGUUUAGCAAUUCAUUCAUUCAAUUUUGUGAAUUAACUUUCAAGAAAUGCCU
rnacentral:lncRNA from 1 species